AUACUUACCUGGCAGGUAGAGAUACCGUGAUCAUGAAGGUGGUUUUCCCAGGGCGAGGCUCACACAUUGUAAUCCGGGUGGGUGUGUUGACACCUGCGAUUUCCCCAAAAUUAAACUCACAUUACAUAGCC
rnacentral:snRNA from 1 species